GGUACUCUCCUAUAUCAUCUGUCUUCUCAUCACUGCACCUAGUUUACUGAGUCACUCUGAGUCUCACAACUCUGACAAUUCAGAUCCCUUCUUCCCUGGGCUUUGAUGAUCAGGAAAGACUGUCCUGUACUGAAUUUAUUACCCUAUGCUACUUGUCCAGAACUAUACAAUCUUCAUUUAAAAUAUGAAAAGAGCAAAGGGAACAUAGGAAAAGCCAUAAAGUGAAGUGUAUAUAUAGCAAAAUAAGAACACCUGUAAGCAGUAACCAAAUGUAUGUUAAUUUACACAUUAAACUUACAAGAUAUACAGAGGAUUUGAGCAUUUUAUGAAAAAAUACAAAUAUAGAAAUGGAAACAGUAACAUUAUUAGUCAGCAGUUCAGGGACAAUAGUCAAAAACUGGGAAGAAAAUAAAUAAUUUGGAAUGUGGGCAUAUUAUUGAAAAUAUAUUGUCUUUCAUACUGCUAGUUUGAAAAAAUAAAAGUAUAAAUCUAACAUUGUGAACUAAUUCCUUUGAUAUGAACUCAGAGCGAAUCACACAAGUACACAUUAUGAUAGAACUGGCAAAAGCUGACUACAAAUCUGAGAUAGAGUGAGAAAUAUAAGUUUCUUGGAGCAGGAAGAGAAAUGUAUGAAUUUAUACUCACUUCCUGAAAGGGGAAACCUCUAGCACAUAGCACAUCCACACUUCUUCUCAGGUUCUUUGGUCCAGAGUUAUGAUAAAGUAAUUCACAGAGUAUUGGAGUCUUCAGACCUGUAGGAGAAAUGAAGAAUGAAAGAGAAAAUGUAGUACUUACCAAGUACUG
ensembl:antisense Gm37468 predicted gene, 37468